AUCAGGACCAGGAGAUCGAUCAAGGUCAAGCACUGGUGGCAACGCCCCUUGUGAUUCCAACACCUCUCCAGAUGGAACCUGCCCAUUUCCAGGGGCAACACCGGCCUCUGGUGUAUCGGAGGAAAAGAGACAGAAUUCAUGAUGAAAAACGUGUUUUUACUCUACAGCCUUCAGUAGAACAGGUUCAGUGAUGAUCAACCUUUUGUGAGAUGGGCCUGUGGAUAAUUUGCAAAUAAGUUGUUGCCCUAUAAGGUUUCUGUACCACCAGCCAUGUUAU